GGGUGCUCUGCCUCAAAUUAAAGAUGGGCGUUGGAAUUCUUCAACUCAAUUCAAAAAGCACUAUGAAUGCAGCACUGUGUAAUAUAUACCCUAUCUUCAAAUUCUCCGAGACUCACUCCCAACCGUCUCGCUGCCCUAGUUCCUGGAUCGCUGGCAGAAGCUCUAACCGGCUGCCAACUCCUCGAUCUCUGGUAAUUGAAACUGUGGAAGACCAAGUUGAUGAGGAAACGCGGUCGGAGUCAGUUGCUCGUCGCCUCAUUCUGCUUCGGCACGCGAAGAGUUCCUGGACGGAUCGUUCGCUGCGAGAUCAUGAUCGACCUCUGAGUAAAGCUGGACGAGCUGAUGCCAUCAAUAUUUCUCACAAGCUCCAACAGUUGGGUUGGAUCCCGGAACUCAUCCUAUGCAGCGAUGCGAUGCGAACAAGGGAGACACUUAAAAUUAUGCAGGAGCAAGUGAGAGGCUUUUCAGAAGCUGAGGUACAUUUUAUUUCAAGCUUUUAUUCCAUUGCAGCAAUGGAUGGACAGACUGCUGAGCACCUUCAACAGGCUAUCUGUAAAUUUUCACGGGAUGAGAUUCUGACAGUUAUGUGUAUGGGACAUAAUAGAGGAUGGGAAGAGGCUGCCUCAAUGUUCUCAGGUGCUUCCAUAGAACUGAAGACAUGUAAUGCUGCUUUGCUUGAAGCCACUGGAAAAUCAUGGGAAGAGGAUAGGGCCUGAAAUUGAACUUUCAUCGUUCCUCCUGCAAUCAGAAAACAAUAAAAUGGAAGUCUAUAGUUGGAAAUGAAGUAGAAUGGAAGUAUGAGAUAAAGAAUUUGGUUGCUAUAGGAAUGAAUUUUUAGGUGAUACAGCCUACAGGAAGCAACCUCAUGUGACAGAUUUCUACUUAUCAAAAAAAAAAAAAAGAACUUGUGACCAGAUUUCUGAAUCUAACUUAUAGGAGGCAUUUAAUUUGGCAGGACUUGGUGGGUGGAAGCUUCAUGGCAUUGUGAAACCGAAUACUAGCCAGUAACAUUGCAUUAAGUUUUGGAUGCUAACCAAAAACAAGCAGCUCUUGUUUUUGGUUGCGAUGUACGUUUGGCUCUGCUACUUGCUACUUGCUGACUUGUCCUUCUUUCCCCAUCUUCCCAAAAACCUUGUCUAGGUAACAUUAGAAAAGAAAAGAUCAUUUUCACAGUCCAAGCAUUCCCUGAAUAGGGGAAUGGAAGCGUGAUGGUUGGAUAACUAUCAAUUCACCUCUGUCGGUAGCAUUUUUCUGUUGCAAACUAGAGAUAUUAGUCAGGGCUUUGUGAGGUUGGCAUGCUAGGGUUGAGGGGUUGUAUCUUGGUAUGCUUUGCACUGGAUGAGUUUCAUCAUUUUUCAAUUAACAGAGGACAUUCCUGGUUUAGCCAUCAUCUGAAGAAUGAUGCAAGAUUGUGUCAAAAUUUGUUCUGCCUGUGGAAGAGAUCAUUACCUGAAAUUAUGCUCUUUGGGUAGGAUUGCUGAUUUGUUACAGUUGUUGACUAUAUCCAUGGGAUUGGUGAACCAAUAAUGCCUUCAGUGUAAAAAUGUAAUCUCAUUUCUCACCGGAGUCCUAUGUAAAUAUCAUACUUCAUAUGGAAAGAGGACAAUUUUCAUUUGAUCUGUCA